rnacentral:lncRNA from 1 species
GGGACAUGCAUUGCAAUCCUAUGCUUGCCACACUGCUGCAGUAUACUUGUUUUGCAGAGCUCUGUAGCAGGCUAGUCAAAGCUGUGACUAACCAGACCCUUGGAUACGUACUCUAAUCUCUGGCCUUUAUUUUUACAAUGAAUUUGAUUCAUUCUUUGAUUGCAUAUUUUUUCUGAUUUGCGAGAAGCUUCAUGCUCUGUGUUUGGAUGCUGACUGCAAUACAGCAAUAGUCUUUGAUACGCUUUACACUCUCAAAUUAAAGCUUAAAAACCUCCAAGGAAGGAAAGGAGGCCAGAUUGGAGGGGGAGGAGGUGAGAGGAAGGAAGCGGGUGGAGAAAACCACUAUAUUCCCAAGAUGCAAGGAAAGUUGAAAAGUAGAAGAAAAAAUAUAUUAAAUCAGUGUAAACUAAGAGAGUCACAGUGUACACUCUGUGGGGAGCCUGAAGGUGAGCAUAUUUUCCUCUUCAUAUUUUUCAAAGCAACUAGUGGUGAAUGCUUGACUCAAAUGACACAAGUGCGAGAGAUUGGAAAUGGUAUCUGAAUGAUGAGAAUGAAUGAAAGACAUUCUUCUCUGUGUUAGAUGGCAAAAAUGAAUCCAAUUAAGCUGAGUAAAGCAUGGUAUGUGCUCCAGGCAGGAAAUAUCCUAAAGGACAAAUAUUCCAUUAGAGCAAAAAUGGAAAUAUUUACUUCUUAUUCUUUUGUGUGUUUGUCGAACUGAUUUGGGGUAAGAGACAGUGUGAAGAGACAUCUAAGGACAUCACUUUGCUGUUGGAAAACAAAAGUAUUGGAAAUAAAAGGGAAAUGAGGAAAUGUUUUUAUAUUUGAUAUGAUUUACGGAGAACAGAGAGGCUAACACAUUUUAGCAGGUGAAGCGAAUAAAUAUUGCUUUUGAAAUAAGGGUAAUUAAGCAAUAACUGUUAUGCAGUGCAAAUAUAUGCCCAAGCGAGGAUGUUUGGUGGUUGUUAUUUUUGCCCCAAGUGAUUAACUAAAUGCCAUGGUGAGACCCACAAUUUACGUAAAUAAACACUGCAGUAAUGAGACUGUGGUUUUUGAGGCGGGUCAUUACUUUAGAAAAUCUUUCUCUCCCUUUCUUUUUCUUCUCUCUUUUUCCUUUACACACAUAUUGGUGCUGUUUUGAGAAAAUGUCAAAAAAGUUAACCUUAGUUUCAGAUCAACCAUCUGGAGUUUUUCUAAGAAAAGCAGUCCAAAAUAGCAAAUGUAACUGCUGAAGCAAAGUAUGUUCUUCAAAAAAAAAAAAAAAAAAUUAUAGAUGGUGUGUUCUUCUCAAAGAGGUUCAGCUUUAUGUCUUGAAAAGUUUCUGAAAAACAGUUCAAGCUUUCAAUUUCCAUAUAUUUAGGAGGGAGAAGUUAACGAGAUGAAGUCUGAAAGUGAAAGACUUUCAGACCUUGCAGCUACUGAUAUAACUCAGUAAAUUUACCAUCUGCUGGGAAAAAAAAAUGUUUUAGAUUUUCUUUGGACUUUGCAUUCCUUUUGUAAAUAGCCAUUUCUUGUUUAGUUUCUUUUCAUUGUGUUGUAUUUGAUAAAUUCAUAAUACCACAGAUACAUACAUGGGAAGGAAAAAUAAGGCAGAUGUUUAUUUGCCUUUUAUGAGAUAUACCUUUCAUAAUAGGGUCAUCCAACUCAGAAGUUAUACACUAGAUUAGUUCUCUUUUAUUGCAUACUAUGCCUGCUGUAUCAAUCUCCUUUCUUUUUGUCACUGUUCUUUCAUACUACUUCCGCAUUUCAAACUUUAUGUAUAAGGAUGGUUUAAAAAGGGAAUUAAAAUAAAAUAAAGCAGCAGUAAAAAUAUUUAAUGUCUAUGCAGCUAAAACCAUAUAGUCAAAAGAUAACGGUAUGCAUUGCUGUAGGAAUGGUCCUCGGGAACAUAAUGCUGUUUUCAGUUGUGUAGAAAUGAACUUUCCCAAGAAUGAUGUCUCUUGGAUCACCAAAUUCCCCACUCAAAUACAGCAUUACUGUAAUGCUACUUAUUAACUCUAUUAAUUCUCCCCUCUUCGUGGGGAGCCCUUUGCGGAGAUUUGGCAGUUAGUUCUGUAGUUCAGGAAGCAAGUUUGUUUAUCUGCACACAUUGCCGCACAUCUGCAGGACAAUUUAGAUGCAUAUUUUACAGAAUAAAAAAGAUCUGCUGUGGGAGGGAGAUGCUUGUAAUUGAUAAUUUACAUUCCACAUCUCAGUCAUUCAAAGGUAUUGCCUGUGGAACUUGUAGAUCCGUAAAUACACAUGUAUACAUAUAUACAAUAUACAUGUGCUGUGUCUGCCUAUGCAACCAAUCUAAAGGGAAAGAGUUGGUCAACACUGAGGUCUCUGUUUAAGUGGCUGUCUUUUGUAAGAGCUGCAAAGGCUUACAUGUUCUGCUUCAGAAAUCAUAGGUUUGAUCUGUGCUUUUUGACAAGGAUGUCAGAUGCCACACCUGUCAGUGUGAGUUACUUGAAAACCAAGGAGCCUGUCUUGUGCUGGGAGGAAAUGAAAUUUGCAGAAGACAGAGGUAGUGUUCUUGAUAAAUCCCAUGAGUGCAGCUACUUUGAGUUGCUCCAUCUUCCGGAAGCUCAUAGCAAGGAUGUGUUUUCAGGCAGAUGACAGCUGUUUCCUUUGCGGAAGCAAUCUGCAUCAGACAGGUUACACUGCCAUGGUAAACACAGCAUUUUGCUCUUGCUCCACUUUGAAGUGAGAAUGGCAUGUUGUAGACACGUGUCUGACUUGAGUCUUUGUGACAGCCAGCAUACCCUGUUAGAAGGGUAGUGUAGUCCUGAGAUGUUUCCACACGGCGCCUUCCAUGAAGCAGACGUUGUUUUUCUUCUAACUCAUGUCAGUUAUUCACAGAAGUUCAUGAAGGUAUCGUAUUAAUAAACAUAAUUUUCUAUAUUAUCAAAACAGCAAAGAAGUUAACUUUGUGGCUGUUAAGGUUUCAGUACCUCACUCUUAUCUUCUCAAAGACUGUGAAAGUAACAGCUUCUCUUCCAGACCUAUUUUAUAUCCUAUGCAACUCCACCAGUGACUUACUGGUUCUAUUCAUGACAUGGGUUAGUUGUUUUAUAUUGUUGUUGUCAUUUUGUUUUGUUAUGUUUUUUCCAGUAUUUUCUGAUUAUUCUGUUUAUUUCCUUCUGAAAGAUAAGUAGGCAGUCCUGUACAAUACCUGCACUUUUCAGCUUCUUAAUAAAAAGUUGUGUCCCUGGAUUCUUUAUAAAACAAGCUUUACCUGAAUACUUAGGUCUGGAAAAUGUGCUAGAGAGGCCUACCACUGCACAGAGUUGGUUCUAGUCAAUUGUGAGAAUUAACACAAGUUCUGGUUCUGUCCAGCAUUUCUGUCUCAGGAAAAAUACUGAUGAUUCAACUUGCCUUAGGAAAUCCUUUAGCCACUGGAAACUAGAAGCUAUAGUUUACCAGAUUCAGGUAAAACAUCAUAGUGUGCUCUGCUUCUGCUUAGACAUUGCUGUCCUAUAGGUUAGAUAUUAGGAGGAAGUUUUUCAUACAGAAGGUGGUGACGCACUGGAACAGGUUGCCCAAGGAGGCUGUGGAUGCCCCAUCCCUGGAGGCAUUCAAGGCCAGGCUGGAUGUGGCUCUGGGCAGCCUGGUCUGGAGGUUGGCGACCCUGCACAUAGCAGGGGGGUUGAAACUCCGAGAUCAUUAUGGUCCUUUUCAACCCAGGCCAUUCUAUGAUUCUAAGACUGGGAGAAAAUGGAAACAUUGUUUUCUCCAAGUAGCUGCUGGUGGCAGUCAUGGGAGUGAGAACACUGAGAACUGGCCUUUGAUCUGACCCCCUGCUGAUGUUCUUAUGGGCUUGUGUUCUUCUCAGUUUGAGAUUAAAUAAUUGUUGCUCGGUGUGGAUUUUUUUCUUUAUACCCAUUGAUGAAAGAGAAGCUGUGUUAACUUUGCUGUAAGUAUUAAGCUUUCUCUACUGUGAGCGCAAUGCUGAUAACAACUUCCAAUUUAUUUAGAAAUAUUCUGUGAUGUAAAUGAACAUCUCCAUGUAGAAGUUCUGAUGCAUUAUAAGAGUAAUAGAAUACUCACAGCAAUUAAGCACAGACUGUGGAGUAGAUAGUAGGCAGUUCAGCCUAUUGUUCACCCUUUUAUCUGGUACCUCUUGAUCUUGCAGUGUAUGUGCAGACUGUAAUACGCACUUCUCAUUCUACUGCAGAUAUGAUGUGGCAAAUGUCCUUUCAAUUCCACAGCAUUUAGUAGUCAAGUCUGGCUCUCCAGAAAGACACUGCUGUUCAGAAAGGCUAUGAGAAACAGUACUUCUGUACUUUACUGUGAUCUGUGCUAACGUUAACAGCAUAGAAAGAAGACUCAACUUUCAUUACAAACGGUUCAGUCCAGACCUCUAAUUAAGAUGACAGUUAAAUAAAAACAAAAUAUGAAUAUUUGCAAGGAAUGAGAUGGAGAUUACAAUGCAGUACAUUAAAAUACCACCUGUGCAUAUUAGAAGUACCCCAGUAUGAAAUACCAAGUUGAAUCUUUACUGGCCCCACCACUGGGAAAGAACAUAGCAAAGGGAGUAGGUGUCUAGAGACGUAGUAAACUUGAUGAAAAUAUGUGAAGAACGGACCUAUGUGAAUGAAUGUCAAGAUGGUUUGCUCUGUGUUAUUUAGAGAAGAUAACAAUCAAAGAAAACAAUAUACCCGUACUGCACGUUCUUGAUAAAUGAUGCGUCCCAUUUUUCCAUGGGAUCGGGAAAACUAGAAGUUUUAGUUGUUUAUUAUGUCCUGAGCAAGUAAAUAUUCCAAAGCAAAACAAGAAUAGCUCAGAAGGGCAAAUGCAGUUGUGGAAUUUACUUCCAUGAUGUGACUUCUGUGACUGACUAAUAUUAGCGCUGCAUGUUUCAGUGAACAGUAAGAAUAUUCCUAUGGAUCUGGAAUAGGGACAAGUCUAAUUAUUUUCAACAAUGUUUUUAUACAAACAAAAUAACAACUACUCUUUUAAUAGAUAAAGGAGAUAAGGAGAUGAUGCCCCUAUGUAUAAGCUGUUGCUUCAUAAACCGUUUGUUCAUUCUUGGUUUUGGUUAAUUUGUAACCGAAUGCCCCACUGGGCCUGGCCUGUUUCGGGAACCUUCAUGUGCCUUCUAUUUAGACCUAGUUUACAUUUUCAAGCUAAGAUGCCAACAUUAUUUUGUCUAUCUCUGAGAAGAAAUGAGUUUGUGUAAAAUUUAUACCAAACUUACAAGAGUGUCAGAGAGAAUGUCAGUGACUCAUUUACCCAUACACGAUUUUAUGUCAAUUAAAUAUGGAAGGCUUUUUAAUAUAAUUAAAUGUUAAGGAUGCAAUUAAGUAAUUUUUUUGAAGUAAAAGAAUUUUUGAAUGUUUCAUAAUCAAGACAAAUGGCACUGUUGAAUUGUGUGCAUUCACUCAGAAGAUGCAUGAAAUAUUCAGUAGAAUUUGGGAAAUACAAGUACUUUAACUUUUGAAUGUAAAUAAUUGACGGGAACAACAAAAACCUUUUUUUCUGGAGGAAAAUAUGACUUUUUAGGAUACGUGCAUGUAAAUGUCAAUAUUAGAGUGGAGCAUUUGCUGCAGGUACUGCCAGCUUUGGUGCCAUCUGUACUCUUGGUAAUUCUUGUAUGCUGGAGUUUGGAGGGAAAUAAGUCUCUUUUCUUUCCCUUUUAUUAAAAUAAAGAAUUCUGGACAUUAGUAGCUCAGAAAAGUAUCUUAAAUAUGUAAUAUAUAUCUUAAUAUUGACAGUGCCACAUCUGUGUAGUUCUGGCUCCAAUAGAAACAUUUCCGUUGGUAUCUAGUGGAACACUGUUACAGGCAUGUUAAUAACCCCAGGGAAUUUUGCUAAUCUUCAUUUCACUAAUCUCAGCAUUCAGUAAUCGGCACUGGAAACUGGCAGUUUUACAACUGUUAGCAGUGACUUUCAAGAGUCCUUAACUCUUCACUUUUUUUAUACUUAUUCUGUAUUUACUACACCAACAAUUAUCAGUAAGAAAACCUGAAUUUUUCUAUGGAAGGCACGUGUAUUUCAUGACACAUCACCGUGACAUUUUCAAGGAAAUAAUAACACAUAAUAAAAUCUACUUUGCCUAAUGUUAAUAUUGCUUACUUUCCUAUGAGUUAUAAAAACAAUUCACGUUAUUUUAUCAAAUUAGAAAGAUUUCUUGUGCUGUGUAUGUACCACUAAAAUAGUUAUAUAGAUUACUGUUCCUGCUAUCGCCCUAAUGACAACUCGUAAUUAUUGCUUGAGGUGGGUGACAUAUUUCCAUCUUUAUUCUGUCCAUUAUGAUAGAUUUUAUGGAAAUACAGAGCCAAGGACUUAAAGUGAAUUUUGCUUUGAUCUAUUUGCAUGCCAGCUCCUCGGUCUGCAGGAGCAGUCACAUUCAUAUGCCAUUGUGAGCUUCUUGCUAACAUUUUAAUAACGGGUUCUGGUAAAAUCCCUAGUGGUAUGAAACUGCCUCCUGAUCAGAGUAUGGCUAAUAUGUCUGUCUUCUCUUUUUGCUUUUUGGCACUAUGCUCAAAGCAAAGUGCUUUGAUUUUUCAUGGAAAACCUUUUCAUGGAAACCUUUUCAAACUGCAUAGAAAUAUAUUGCUACCAUUCUCUAUUGUACAGUGCAAAGAUAUUGAUUUUUAUUUUUACAUUUAGAGCAUAAGGAAAUAUCCAAGUUUUUACUUACUACGCUAGACAGUUUUUGCAAUAAAAUAAUCUGCAAGAUUUGGAGAAUGCAUGAAUCUAAAUAUUUUUAAAUCUCUCGAUAGGCUAAUGUGUCAAAUUUUACUGAUUAGUUUCCUUAGGAUAACAAGGUGUAGUAUAUUCACAGUAUGUAUUAUUCUGGUGUGUCAAGAUUGCUAGGAAGUAGGUACAGUAUGGUUUUAUUCAAACACUAUUGAAUAACACUAUUGAGAAACACAGUGCUAUUGUAUUUUCCUAUCUGCACUUGAGCAGACAGCAGAAGUUGUUUAUAGUGCAUCUGCUACAGAGUUAGUUGCAUAGAAAGCACACAGUGAUUGAUUACACUUGAAGUAUUUGAAGAUUUCAAUGUGAACACUUCUAAAUUGUAUAGUUUAUAUUCAUAUAGUUCGCAAACUUGUAAGGUUAUAUAUGGCAUUAGUAAUACAAAUACUUGUCAACAACAAGGAAUAAAUUUGCACAUCUUAUUUGCUUGUUCUGAAGUCAGGAAUAAGAUAUUUAAAAGAAUAGAGCCUGCAUAAGCCAGGUGUGACACAUAGUCUUUCUUUUUAUCUGUUUGCUUUAUGGAACAUCUUGUGGUAAUUGAAGAGCAAAGUCUCAAAAGAGAAAAGGUUCUUAAAAACAAACAAACAAGUUUUCUUUAAAAAAUGUUUUCCUCGCCUUUAUUUGUCAUUUAUAUUUAGUAUAAAUUAAACUAAUUUCUCAGUUUCUUCUUCUUAUAUGUACGUGAAACAGCUGCUCUCAAAACACCAUUGUUGUCCUUUUCUUCAUCUACUGUUUCACUCUCCUGGGUUGUGCAAACUAAAAAAAGCUGAUUUAAUUUGGACAAAUACGAUGUAAUCCCAAAUGCAGACGGUUUUAUUUCUACGUUCAUUUUACACUGUUGUGAUUAAAAACCUCAACAAAAGCAAACACAAGAAUCAUCUCUUCUUUCCCGUUUCAGUGUGAGUGAGUAAAUGGAAAGCUCGUUUCAUGUAUGUGUGGGAAGAGCUGGUCUCGAAGCUGAUAGUCACUGCACACUUCAGGUUGCAUGCAGCUUUAGUAAUGUGAAUAUUCGCUCUGACAACAGCUGCAUGUUAUUCAGUUCUAUAGAGGACAGGAUUUAGGCAUUUGCUGGAAUAGGAACCAAUAUAAGCAAGGCUAGUGCAGCCUUAAGGAUGCUGGUGUUUUAAAUUAACUUCAGAAUCGAAUUUGAUAUGUUUAUGAAUACACAUUUCUUGUCAUUGCUCUUAUUUUGCUAGCUGUUCAGUCCUUCUAUAUAUUGAAUGGCAUGUCUUGUUUUCAGUGGUCAUUGGUAUUUGUGAGAUGUGCUUGCUGUACGUUCAUUUCUGCAGUAGCAUGUUUCUCUAAAGACAUUGUUUUGGAGUGAUGAUGUAUCAUAAAUAAGAAUGUUUAUCUCAAAUAGUGUGAGCAAUCUGUGCUUGAAGAUUGUCUUCUUUCCCUUUACUUCUAAUUCUGAUGCUCUGCAAUGCUUAGAGUUUGUGUAUUUAACUGUAAUAGUCCUUUGUCCAUAUACAUAACUGAUCUCUGUAAGUUGAGCAACAAUGGCUCCUGAAUAUUGCCUGCAGCUUCUGGCUUCCUUUAUAUGUUAGAAAGAUAUUUUUGUGCCUGUGUAGGAAAAGAAGUACAAUGGAAUUUUACCAAAGCAUACAGAUUAUUUGUUUAAUAUUUUAAUAUUCAUUUCUUAUCUGUGUCACCAAAGAUUUGACUGAGUAAAGCUGAAAGAACAGAUUUCAUAGGUAAACUUGAGAUUCUACACUGCAAACCUGGAGAGGAUAGAUUGCAAGAGCUGAAGUUCCCUGGCUUUGUGCCUUAGUCCCAAACUCAGAGAGUGCUCAGAUGGGUUAUUUUCAGACAAUUGCUUGGUAAGGAAUGCUAGCCCUGCCUUAGCCUGCAGCUCAGUAUGUAGGAGCUUGUGCUGCAGUGGAAUUGUUAAUGUAUUUGCUGCCUUCCAGUAAAAGGUGGAGCUAACUCUAGCAGCUGAACACCAGACAGGUGCAAAAAGUGCUGUAUAGAAUCACGGAAUCUUCUGUAUACAAAAGAGGUUAUGGUUAGGAGUAAAAGCAUAAAAUAGCUAGUUGCCAUAAAGUUUGAAGAGUACGACCGUAACAGAAAAUAAAUAUUUUCUUCCUACCACCAGGCACCGUGACCUUCAAGACAAUAUUUCCAAUCCAUCUUCUGAACCCCUACUCAAAUAAAUUAUAUGGUUUUUAUUGCACCCAUGUAUGCAUUUCAUUCUGACAGAGCAGAUCAUGAAUGAUUUUUUACUUUGAUUCUGGGUCAUCAAUCUGCAAAGUUAAGAAACAGCGUGCUAGAAGGAAUUCUUUCCCUAAGCCAAAAACUGCAUUAAUUUAAAUGAGACUUCCAUGCAGAAGGAAUGCUGACUUGUAGUGUGUGUUUGCAUAAAUCUUAGAUAACUUCUGGCAAUGUUCACCUCAAUGAUGUAUGAAAAUCCUGAGCUCUUAUCCUGUGCAGAACUACUACUGAUAUUAGUGGAAGUAUUAUGUAGAAAAAGAGCAAGGGCUUUCACAGCAAAGAGCUUCAAGCAGACUGACUUCUGUACUUGCUGAUUAUUUUCCAUCAGCUUUCAUCAUAUGUUUCAGUCACUGGAAUGGUCACACACCCUAUCAAAUAUUAAAGCCAACAUUUGUCUGUAAUAAUAUGUGACAAAAAAUAGCUUUGGUUAUGUAGUUGGAAAUCCUUUUUUGUAUCUGCUGAUGGAGUCUCCAUGAAAACGAUGAAUGAUAUGGUGGCUGCAGCUGUGUUAAUAACAAUUAGCUUGUGCAGCUGACUGUUAGGCAAUCUCUUCAGUAUUUGUCUCCAAGGCUGGAUGUGGCUCUGGGCAGCCCGGUCUAUUGGUUGGCGACCCUGCCCAUGGCAGGGGGGUUGAACCUCGGUGAUCACUGUGGUCCUUUUCAACCCAGGUCAUCCUGUGAUUCUAUGAUUAUGCUAAAAAAAAAAAAAAAAUAAUAAUCUGUAAAAUCUAGAUAUGGUAUUGUUCCAGUUUCUUAAAAACUUUGAUUUCUCGUUGCAUCAAGAGGCAUCUCCUCAAGGAGAUCCUACCCUCGUGAUGGCUUCUCAGCUUUAACUCCACACAUAGAACUGAAACUUGUGUGGAUUCUUUUCUCCCAGUGGUAAAACUUAAGAAUCAUUUUUUUCACUUCUUAGAAUGGACUCAUUUUUUUUUAAUUAGAAACUUCGAGUGCUGCACUCAGUUUCACUAAUGUCCAUUGUCAGCUUCCUUUAUGAGAUAGACUAAUUAUUAAAACUUGGAAAUCAUUUCUCUUUCAGAAUAUGUAGAGAUAGUAAGCUCUUGAGGUGCUUUUUUCAACUGCUACAUUUUUAUUAUACCACUGCAUUUUUUUGCCUGUCAAGUGUAGCAUGUCAUUUUCUUUUCAGAGAACAGAACAUCUCUGUUUGCAAAUCAGAUUUCAUUCUGAAAAGAAACUUCUUAAAGUGCUUCUCAACUAACAUAAGAGUUAGUGUUGAGGUAGUUCCACCUCAGCAGUCUUUGACGUGCUUUAACAACGGAAUCCGAAAACCGCAACGGAAAAAUGUUCCUGAAGUAGAUUAUUGCAAAUCAUGGAUUUCAUGGGCUGAAAUAAGGCUCUAAAUUGUCUUCAGAUUUGCUGUGUGGUCAUGAACUGCAGUGUAGAGAUUUUACUUUUACCUUUUCCUCAGUAAUCUUCAGCUCAUCACGUUGAUAUAAAGUGAAUUUCCCUUAACACAAACAAAGAACAGGCAAGGGUUUUCUUUUUCCUUUUGAUUUCCUUUGUCUUUAUUGCAUACAAUUGCUUUACAAACAGCUUUGUGCUAGAGAUGCAGAUUUGCACUUUCUGAUUUGUUGAAGCUGCUGAUUAUGUACUUGUUUAAGCACUUCAAUAUUUGUCUUAUAUCACAGAAACAGCACAGAGAAGCUGGGGGAUAUUCCUGAAGCUAAGCCAAAAUAUUCUGCUUUUUUGGCCUGUGCUAACAUGCUAGGCACUUUAAGAUCAAGGAAAGCCCAUGCAGUUCAAACUCUGCCCUUUUCUUCUAUUUACCUAAAUCUUAUUCUUACUACCAUAAGGUUUUAUGUGUCUGUUAUGUUUCCUAGCUAGCCAACUGCUGAGAGUUUAAAGCCAGCCUGGGAGAGGAUUUCUUGAAAUGAUUUAUUUCAUAUUGUAAAAGCGCUCAUAGAAAAGAACAUGUUAUGACUAUUUCUUCCAUUAGAAUUUCUUUAAGGGCAUCUAUUUGUAACUUCGGAAUUCUGCUUCUGCUUGAUACCAGAGGUACUCUGGUCUUAAAGCAAGCUCUGCUUUAAACAUGGGACUUGCUUAUACUGAGUAUUUCUGAGCAUCUCCAUAUUGAUCUAAAACCUAAAAAAUAUAACAAAAGAAAUUAUUUCUUUAUACACUAACAAACCAAAAACGGAGGGCUGCUUAGCUUCAACAGUCUUUACUGUAACAGCAACAGACCAGGAAACACUGCCUAGGGCAAACUCAGUUUUGAAGUCUGCAUUGCUAAAUAAGAAACAGCAAAACUGACUGAUGGAGGACUUCAGGUAAUGAAGAGGCAGAAUUCAGUUUAACAAAGGAGAUGCCACUGCUGUGGAAUAGAAGUGAGGUUUCAGAUGAUAAGACUUGCAGCAGAGCAGAAUCAUGGAAACAUAAAGAACCUCUGAAGUGUCCCCAAAGAAUACUCAAGAGCAGGAAGGAACUGGAAAAAGGAAAAAGUCUACCUGUGUUUUAUUUAAUAUGACACUGUGUAAGAUGUUUUCCUCGCACUGGAUUGUGACUAAUGUCAUCAUAAGCUAAAAUUGAUUUAUAUGCCACCUGUGAAUCUUCGUAGCCCUUAUAUAUCUGCUAGCAUUCAAUGCCUUUAACCUGAAAAGGUGAACAGUAAACUCAGAUUUCCCAUAAUCUGAGGAGAAAAGAGCAUGAUCUCCAGAAGGAACACAGCUGAGAUUCAACUUCUCAUUUUGUGAGGUAGUGAUAAAAUAAAACACAGACCUUGGAUGGAGAUUAAACACACCCAUUUCUCUUACUGCAGAAACCAGAUACAGGAGCAGAACCUAGCAGAAAAACUCAGCUGUCGAUAUGGUGAAAGAGGUAACAGAAGAGGGGCCAAGGCUAAUUCCAUCAUUGGAAUUCUUGCUGUAUUAUGUUGAUGGAUUUUUUUCCAGCCCUCUGACACAUGGCACAUUAAACACCCACAGUGAACUUGCCCCAUGUUAGCAUUUUAAUAUGGCCAUAGAAAAUCACAUGCAAUCUGCUCAGCUACAUGAACGCCUUUCUGCCACAAUUACUUCACAGUAGCAAGCUUGGGAUCUGAUGUAGGGUAAAUGACAAGGCAUCCCAAACUAACAUGAUGGAUGUGCUUGAAAUGGGAACUUUGCACUGAGUUUGUUCUACAAGACAAGCGAGGCUGAAAGCUUUGUGUCUGCAUCUGUGCUGUAUUUCCAACGUUAUCCUUCAGAAAGAUCAGGCUUUGAAGACAUAUUAUGACUUUUCAAGAUCUUGGUUUCUUUGUAGUAGGCUUUAACUAGACAUCGACAAAUUAAUCAUUCUGACUCCCAGGGGAAGGAAGAAGGCAAUUUCUUACUGCCUCUGAGAAUGGUGGAGAUUAUAGGCAGAACUGGAGGACAGUAUGAAGCGGGACACUAACAAAGGCCGAAACAAAAUACUAACUGCUUAAUUAGCUGCUUUCCCAGCUGGCAGAUCACAAAGUCUUGUGAUCAAAGUACACUUACUGUUUGGGUAGUAGUAACCAGAAUUUUGUAGAAAAUAUAAACUAUAUCUGUAACAAAAAAUGAGAUUAUCCAUUAACACGUAGAGAGUUUUAUCUUCCAUGUAGUAUUCAAAAAGCACAAACUCUAGAGAUAUAUAUUAUUUACAAUUAAAAAGAGAUUAUAGUAAAUUUUCAUUUUGUGUUUUUGGACAUUGCUGAUACAUUAUUAAGUGUAAUAUAAUAUUGUAUCUAAAGAAAAUAAAAGAUUAUAGUCACUCCUACAAGACAUUCAGAAUUUCUGUUUUGUCAGUCCAAAAUAAAUCUUUUUCUAGAGAAUUAAGUGGUUCCAACAGAGAACUAAAAAAAUCACAUAGAAAUCAGCACUUGGAAGACUUUUAAAGUUUAAAAGCUAUGUUAGUAAACAGUGCAAUCCCCAGAAAGGAUAUUUUGUGUUUUUAUAGCCUGGUUUAUUAACAAGAGAUCUUUCAGAAAAUGUUUGGGUUUCUUGUUUGUUUGUUUCAUUGGUUUUUGGUGGGUUGGUUUGUUUUAGUUUUUUGUUUGUUUGUUUGUUUGUUUUUAACAAAUUUCAUAAAAAGUCAUUGUCCCAUUUGAAGCUCUUAUUAAUUGACAGAGGGAGCAUCACAUAGGGCCUUGCCAGUCCGUAGGGUGAGAAUGUGACAAUACAAGAUGAGAUUGAACACAUAUAGUUAGUUUAAAAUACCUUACCAAUAUGCUCUGGUCAGAAUGCUUGGUCUAGUUUUGUAGUGGUUGGUUGGUUGGUUACUAAACUAUAAAUUUCCAGUAAUAUCUGAAAUGUUUUGGUUGAGUUUACAGAGAUCUGCUUAAUAAACUGUAUGAUCUAAAAAUUGAUCAAAUGUACAGAGAAGUGAAAGUGACACUAUUCAGUAGAAGCAACACUUCAACAUAAUUUGAAGAAAUGAAUGAUAAUUGUUUUCACACUAAAAUGUGAAACCCAGCAGGGCAAUUACAAGAAGUGCCAGGAUCUUCCUCUAUUACUGGCUUAGAAACAGAUAAAUGCAUUGUAAUAUUCAUCGUUUUGAUGUUCUCUUUGACUCACAAUCUCCUCAUGGAACAUUUUUCACUCUGUGGUAAACAUCUCUCCUGUUUCACUGUGAAUUUAGAGUCCUAAAUUGCCACACCAUUCUUCUUUCUGUUUCUUUGCAGCAUAAUGUAUCAUGGUCUAUCUACUGUUAAUAUAUGCACAAUAGAUGAUUUUGUUUCUUGCUUGGGCAGGCAAUACAUUCAUUAGUAAAUGCUGCAUAAUUUAUUAGGGGAGUAAUAUGCAGAGAUAAGUUAAGCUUCCUAGCAGUACUGAGCUUUUGCCAAGCUUCUUCUACUGGCCAAUGUUACCGGUGGAAUAAAAUUGAUAACAACAUCCCUCCCCGCUCACGGGAAGUAACUAUAAAUAAUCCUAAUUUAAAAUUGGUGAACCAACGUUUUAGGUUGAACUUCAUUUUGAAAGGGAAGGUCAGACUUGUGGAAAAGAAGACUUUUCAUGGAAAUAUAAGAAUGCAGGUGACGGCGUGCUUACCGAUGUUUGGUGAGAUGAGUAUUCUUAAUAGCUGACUGACAAACUUACUCUCAGAAGUGAAAGACCCUGCAGGCUCUACCCUGCUUAGUUCAGAAAAGGGACUCUGAAGCUGAGAUCCCAUCUUCCAGAUGAAUGCCCUGCACUGGAUUAUUGCCUCAUGUAGAACAGGUCUCUUCUGUGACUGCCCUAGCCGGUGGAGUAUAUAAUCAUUCUUCCUUUGAGACAGAUGAUGGUUCUUUAUCCACAACCACUCAAGAAAAAUAGGUAAACACGUUAACUAAAAAUGGUAAAAAAAAAAAACCUCCAAAGAAAAACAAACAAAAAAAACAACUCACUCAACAUCUUGUGAUUCCAUUUGUAAGGAAUAAAAAUGAAACAAAGGAAUUGCAUGGAGACAAGUACUCUGUUUCGGUGAAUAAUGAUUUGAAGCUAUUAUUUACAUUUUUUCCAGUUAAAAAAAUGUUAAUGUGGAUCAUCAGAUCUCAAGCGUGACAUCUUGGUGUAUAUCCCAAUACAUUUAGGUGACAUUUGGAGACAGAUCGCAUUUUGGACAUACCAUGGAAUGGAUUACUAAAGAUAGUGCCUCAGUAUUUAUAAAGGCAAUUUUGCUGCAUAAUAUUUGGAAUACGUAAAGGAAAAGCUUAUUAUAUGAGGUAUUGGUAGGUUUCUGAAGUUUAUGAUGCUGAAUUCUGCCUGUGUGUUGUGGCUUCUCCUCAUCAACAGGCAGCUCCCUCUUGUGUGUGAUGCUGAAGCAACUGUGCAUACUGAGGGCUGGAAUCUGCAGCCCUGGAUAAGGGAAUGGCUUCUGAAUGCUCACCACACUAGCCUUGCCCUGUUCUGCCUUCCUCAGUUCCAGGGGGUAAUUGCAGACUGA